CAAUAAAUUCUUUGUUGUUUACACUUUAUCUAUGAAACCCUAAAGAAAUGCUCUCUGCCUCUUCUGCUCGCGAUGAACACAGAACAUAGUUCUUUCUUCCUCCUUCAAAAUGAACAGUGGCUUCCUCCUCUAUUCCCCUCCAUUCCCACCGAUCAAUUCGAGGCGGCGACGACAUACUCCCUCCUUCUUCAAACGAACGGUGGCCAACCCCUCAUUCUUCUCUUUCUCAGAUGCGACGGUGGUGGUUCAUCAAAGUCCAACGAGCUUCUCCGAUCAAAAUCUCUCCGAUUCAACUUCCUUUUUCGAUCUCUGAGUUAUUGUUCAUAUGUUGUUGGUGCUGAAGCCGAUCUUGUUCGGAGCCCGUUGCAUUCGGUUUCGUGUUUGAUUCGAGAUGAACAUUGAUGGUUGUUGAGGAUGAAUGUUGCGGUGGUGAAGCUGAAUAGAAACUCACGGUUUUAACAUCUGGUGAGAUCUUUCUGAUUCUGUUAUGUGUUUUUGAAUCUACAGAUCUGUCUUUCUUUGUCUCUUUUACACUAUCUCCGAUUCAAUUUUCUGAAGGUUUUGAUUAUUUUGAGAAAAAGAUGAUUUAGGGUUCUGAUUGUUGGUUUUGCGGCUAGGUUUGAAGAUGAUGAACAAUAGUUUCUUUUGGGAAUUUUGCAGUGAUUGCUUUUAUAUGCAGGGAAUUUGGUUUUCUUCUAUUUACAAGCCUGUUCUGAAAUUCUCUAUUGGGCUUUUCAAAUGUUUUUUUGAUGGUAUUCCUUUGGUACUGAACAGUAAAUGUGAUGGUUUUUUUUUUUGUUUUUGUUCAGUUUCAGUUUUAUGAAUAUGUAAGCUUCUCCCUGAUGGUCCCAUGCUGCAGAGAAGUUCUAUGAAACAAGAGAACAGCAGCUGGAGGAAUAGAAAGAAAAAUUGUAGUAAAAUAGAAUGAAGCAGUAGAAUUAUACAACUACAAAUUGUCAAAGGGGUUAGCUUCUCAUUUUCUCAUUUAUUUGGCUCAUCAUCUUAAGAUAAAAAGCAUGUUCUGGACUUUUCAAAGUUAUUGCAUCACUUGUGGGCUUUUUGAUUUCAUUUGUUGCAAGCUGUUUGUUUUGUUUGACAGGUUUGAUACAAGGCGUACAAUGAAGCUAGCUCAGGGCUAUGUUCUAAGAGUUCUUAGGUUCAAACUUCACAAGCUGCGAAGCUGAAGUUUAAGCUUUCAAUAAAGUAAGAGGCUGCCUGGAUCUCAUUUGACUUUUCAUUGAAUAGCUCCUUGCAGCAUUCACUUUCAGCUUUAAUGAGCAAAUGCUUGGGGGCGUGGUAAUGUAUCAGUUAGUUAUGGAGCUCGAGAGAUGGCUUCAAUAUUGGAUACUGCUCUGCUCCAAGCAUUGCUUCUUACUGGACUAUCUUCAGCAACUUUAGAAUUUUUUAGAGGUGUUAAUUACUGUGAUAUGAAAAUAUGUGAAGAAAUAGUUCAAACAACCCAAGCUUAGUUGCAUAAAAAGCUUUUAUUUUAUAUUC